rnacentral:rRNA from 1 species
AGAAAAGUAAUGAUAUUAGGUAGUAAGAGUUGUCUUGAAACUUAAAGAAUUUGGCGGUGUUUUAAACUUAUCAGAGGAACUUGUUUUAUAAUCGACAAUACUCGGCAAAUCUCACUUGAACUAAUACUUGUAUAUCGUUGUGGUAAUAAUAUUUUAUAAUUAUUAUUAGAGAUAAUUCUAUUUUUGAUAUCAGAUCAAGGUUCAGUUUAUGUUUAAGUAAAAAAUGAGUUACAAUAUAGGUAUAUAUUACGAAAUUUAUCAUUAAAAAAUAAAGGAAGGAGGAUUUGAAAGUAUUUUUAUACUAAGAUGUUAAAUUGAAUUAGCUCUAAAACAUGU